UACGGAGGGUGCGAGCGUUGUCCGGAAUCAUUGGGCGUAAAGGGCGCGUAGGUGGCCCGGUCAGUUCGUGGUGAAAGCGCGGGGCUCAACCCUGCGUCGGCCAUGAAUACUGCCGCGGCUGGAGCACUGUAGAGGCAGGCGGAAUUCCGGGUGUAGCGGUGGAAUGCGUAGAGAUCCGGAAGAACACCGGGUGGCGAAGGCGGCCUGCUGGGCAGUUGCUGACAGCUGACGGCUCAGCACGAAAGCGUGGGGAGCAAACAGG
rnacentral:rRNA from 1 species